rnacentral:rRNA from 1 species
UACGGGAGGCCAAGCGUUGUUCGGAUUCACUGGGCGUAAAGGGUGCGUAGGUGGUGAGGUAAGUCGGAUGUGAAAGCUCGGAGCUCAACUCCGAAAUGGCAUUGGAAACUACCUUGCUCGAGGGUUGGAGGGGGACUGGAAUACUUGGUGUAGCAGUGAAAUGCGUAGAUAUCAAGUGGAACACCAGUGGCGAAGGCGAGUCCCUGGACAACUCCUGACACUGAGGCACGAAAGCUAGGGGAGCAAACAGG